rnacentral:lncRNA from 1 species
CGGCUCGUUCACGCAAACCGAGGACUUCCAAGGUCUACAGAGACACGUACUGAUAGGUCUCGAUGUACCGGAGGCCGUGCUCAUGAUCCAGAGCACAGCGGCUCGCUGUGGGAAGCGCGGGAGCAACCCGAAGGUUCAGCGAACAGCGCGCAGUCAGGGAAGAUCGCGCCGAACAGGACUAACCGGGCACUGCUGAUCCAAAAGAAGGUGAGCACUGUGAUCAGCACUGACCAGCGGUCACCGUGCUCACCUCCGGAGGCAUCGGAACAGCCUCGGAUCGCCAGAUAAGCGUGCGCAAGCCCAAAACAGCAGCCAAACAGGCUCGAUAGGGUCGACAAUGCCGAAACAGUUGAACGGAGUCUCCCUGACAGAAUCUAAGGUGAGCACGAUGAUCAGCAAUUUGCUACGAUCAUCGUGCUCCCUUCCGCAGAGAUUGGGGAGGCUCGGGAAGCUCAGAACACAAAACAUCUAAAAUAAGCCCUAUUUUGGGCUUGGCCGGAGCAAGGUUGCUCCGGCCGGCUUCCGACGGCACGGCGGCGCGCGCGGAGGCCAAGGAUGGGUGCGGGGGAGGUGAGGAGUACGAUGCUCACCUCAGUUAGCGGCUGGAAGCGGCGGCGGCAGUG